GAAGCCAUUUCUGAUCUUAACUUUCAUCUAAUCGUGAAAGCGUGGGGAGCAAACAAGGAUUAUGAUACCCUGAUAGUCCACGCCGUAAACGAUGAGCGCUAAAGUGUUAGAGAGUUUCCCGCCCUUUUAGUGGUGAAGGUUAACGCAUUAAAAAAUCCGCCUGGGGAGUACGGCCGCCAGGCUGAAACUCAAAGGAAUUGACGGGGGCCCGCACAAGCGGUGGAGCAUGUGGUUUAAUUUGAAGCAACGCGAAGAACCUUACCAGGUCUUGACAUCCUCUGAAAACUCUAGAGAUAGAGCUUCUCCUUCGGGAGCAGAGUGACAGGUGGUGCAUGGUUGUCGUCAGCUCGUGUCGUGAGAUGUUGGGUUAAGUCCCGCAACGAGCGCAACCCUUGAUCUUAGUUGCCAUCAUUAAGUUGGGCACUCUAAGGUGACUGCCGGUGACAAACCGGAGGAAGGUGGGGAUGACGUCAAAUCAUCAUGCCCCUUAUGACCUGGGCUACACACGUGCUACAAUGGACGGUACAAAGAGCUGCAAGACCGCGAGGUGGAGCUAAUCUCAUAAAACCGUUCUCAGUUCGGAUUGUAGGCUGCAACUCGCCUACAUGAAGCUGGAAUCGCUAGUAAUCGCGGAUCAGCAUGCCGCGGUGAAUACGUUCCCGGGCCUUGUACA
rnacentral:rRNA from 1 species